UACGGGGGGGGGGUAAGCGUUGUUCGGAAUUACUGGGCGUAAAGGGCUCGUAGGCGGCCAACUAAGUCAGACGUGAAAUCCCUCAGCUUAACUGGGGAACUGCGUCUGAUACUGGAUGGCUUGGAUUCGGGAGAGGAAUGCGGAAUUCCAGGUGUAGCGGUGAAAUGCGCAGAUAUCAGGAGGAACACCCGUGGCGAAGGCGGUCGUCUG
rnacentral:rRNA from 1 species